GAUUCGUCACACUAUCAUUAACUGAAUCCAUAGGUUAAUGAGGCGAACCGGGGGAACUGAAACAUCUAAGUACCCCGAGGAAAAGAAAUCAACCGAGAUUCCCCCAGUAGCGGCGAGCGAACGGGGAGGAGCCCAGAGCCUGAAUCAGCAUGUGUGUUAGUGGAAGCGUCUGGAAAGGCGCGCGAUACAGGGUGACAGCCCCGUACACAAAAGCGCAUGUGUUGUGAGCUCGAUGAGUAGGGCGGGACACGUGGUAUCCUGUCUGAAUAUGGGGGGACCAUCCUCCAAGGCUAAAUACUCCUGACUGACCGAUAGUGAACCAGUACCGUGAGGGAAAGGCGAAAAGAACCCCGGCGAGGGGAGUGAAAAAGAACCUGAAACCGUGUACGUACAAGCAGUGGGAGCACCCUUUGGGGUGUGACUGCGUACCUUUUGUAUAAUGGGUCAGCGACUUAUAUUCUGUAGCAAGGUUAACCGAAUAGGGGAGCCGGAGGGAAACCGAGUCUUAAUUGGGCGUUAAGUUGCAGGGUAUAGACCCGAAACCCGGUGAUCUAGCCAUGGGCAGGUUGAAGGUUGGGUAACACUAACUGGAGGACCGAACCGACUAAUGUUGAAAAAUUAGCGGAUGACCUGUGGCUGGGGGUGAAAGGCCAAUCAAACCGGGAGAUAGCUGGUUCUCCCCGAAAGCUAUUUAGGUAGCGCCUCGUGAAUUCAUCUCCGGGGGUAGAGCACUGUUUCGGCUAGGGGGCCAUCCCGGCUUACCAACCCGAUGCAAACUGCGAAUACCGGAGAAUGUUAUCACGGGAGACACACGGCGGGUGCUAACGUCCGUCGUGAAGAGGGAAACAACCCAGACCGCCAGCUAAGGUCCCAAAGUCAUGGUUAAGUGGGAAACGAUGUGGGAAGGCCCAGACAGCCAGGAUGUUGGCUUAGAAGCAGCCAUCAUUUAAAGAAAGCGUAAUAGCUCACUGGUCGAGUCGGCCUGCGCGGAAGAUGUAACGGGGCUAAACCAU
rnacentral:rRNA from 1 species